ensembl:lncRNA
ACGGACCCUGGGUCCAAAGGCAGUAUUUAAAUUUUUUUGGUCAGUCAUCCUUAACAGGUGGAUAUCUGAGGAGCUGGUGACAUUGAUUAAGACACUUGCACAAUCCUGGACCACCAGACUCACCAUCCUGAGAGGAAGGACGGGAACCAUCUAGUGCAGAAGAAGUCUAGAGUCAGGAAGUUCAUUUUCCUGAAGAUUUAUACACUGAGUUCACCAUACUUGGGGCCAAGGUUUCUUCCAGAGUAUUCAGGAGAUGGUGUUCAAAGAAAUAUAUCUGCAUAUGAUUAAGAGCCUUCCACACAUUGUCAUCCACUGCAGCCUAACGUGAGUGUCACUAGUAGGUGGCUUUUUUCUUUUCAGCUCACUCUGACUCACAGUUUCAGCCUCACCGACUUAUCCCCAACUUUCCAGCUGCUC